UAGGGAAUCUUCCGCAAUGGACGCAAGUCUGACGGAGCAACGCCGCGUGAGUGAAGAAGGAUUUCGGUUCGUAAAACUCUGUUGUUAGAGAAGAACAGCGCAUAGAGUAACUGUUAUGCGUGUGACGGUAUCUAACCAGAAAGCCACGGCUAACUACGUGCCAGCAGCCGCGGUAAUACGUAGGUGGCAAGCGUUGUCCGGAUUUAUUGGGCGUAAAGCGAGCGCAGGCGGUCAAUUAAGUCUGAUGUGAAAGCCCCCGGCUCAACCGGGGAGGGUCAUUGGAAACUGGUUGACUUGAGUGCAGAAGAGGAGAGGGGAAUUCCAUGUGUAACGGUGAAAUGCGUAGAUAUAUGGAGGAACACCAGUGGCGAAGGCGACUCUCUGGUCUGUAACUGACGCUGAGGCUCGAAAGCGUGGGUAGCAAACAGG
rnacentral:rRNA from 1 species